rnacentral:rRNA from 1 species
GAUGAACGCUAGCUACAGGCUUAACACAUGCAAGUCGCGGGGCAGCAUGGGGGUUGCUUGCACUCCCCGAUGGCGACCGGCGCACGGGUGAGUAACGCGUAUCCAACCUGCCCUUCACCACGGGAUAACCCGGCGAAAGUCGGACUAAUACCGUAUGUUGUCCAUUGACGGCAUCCGAUUUGGACGAAAGGUUUGGCGGUGAAGGAUGGGGAUGCGUCCGAUUAGCUGGACGGCGGGGUGACGGCCCACCGUGGCGACGAUCGGUAGGGGUUCUGAGAGGAAGGUCCCCCACACUGGAACUGAGACACGGUCCAGACUCCUACGGGAGGCAGCAGUGAGGAAUAUUGAUCAAUGGGCGUAAGCCUGAACCAGCCAAGUAGCGUGCAGGAUGACGGCCCUAUGGGUUGUAACCUGCUUUUAUGCGGGGAUAAAGUGGCCCACGUGUGGGUUUUUGCAGGUACCGCAUGAAUAAGGACCGGCUAAUUCCGUG